GUGAAGUAGACCGCCUGGGGAGUACGGUCGCAAGAUUAAAACUCAAAGGAAUUGACGGGGACCCGCACAAGCGGUGGAUGAUGUGGAUUAAUUCGAUGCAACGUGAAAAACCUUACCUACCCUUGACAUGGAAGGAAUCCUUGAGAGAUUGAGGAGUGCCCGAAAGGGAACCUUUACACAGGUGCUGCAUGGCUGUCGUCAGCUCGUGUCGUGAGAUGUUGGGUUAAGUCCCGCAACGAGCGCAACCCUUGUCAUUAGUUGCUACGAAAGGGCACUCUAAUGAGACUGCCGGUGACAAACCGGAGGAAGGUGGGGAUGACGUCAAGUCCUCAUGGCCCUUAUGGGUAGGGCUUCACACGUCAUACAAUGGUACAUACAGAGGGCCGCCAACCCGCGAGGGGGAGCUAAUCCCAGAAAGUGUAUCGUAGUCCGGAUUGUAGUCUGCAACUCGACUACAUGAAGUUGGAAUCGCUAGUAAUCGCGGAUCAGCAUGUCGCGGUGAAUACGUUCCCGGGUCUUGUACACACCGCCCGUCACACCAUGGGAGCGGGUUUUACCAGAAGUAGGUAGCUUAACCGCAAGGAGGGCGCUUACCACGGUAGGAUUCGUGACUGGGGUG
rnacentral:rRNA from 1 species